rnacentral:sRNA from 1 species
ACUGGGUGCCGUGGCCCAGGCCUGUAAUCCCAGCAACUUGGGAGGCUGAGGCAGGAGGAUUGCAAGUUCGAGGUCAGCCUCUGCAACUUAGCAAGACCCUGUCUCAA